rnacentral:lncRNA from 1 species
GGACACUGGAUGUCUUCAAGGGAAAAAAACCACCAUGGCUUCUUGGUGAUUUUAAUUUCUAAAACCAGGUGAAAGGUAUUCAGAACUAAGUCUGACAAUUAAGGCCCAGUGAUGACUUGAACUAGAGGACCAGGAAUGAGCUUGAUAAUGGAGAGUAAACAUCAGCCUCGUGGACUCUUCAAAGCCAAAUAUGAAGUCAAACUCCAGAAAGCAAGUACAUGGCACUCCCGGCUACAACAGGAAAUUCUUGACCUUCUACUGUGCUACCAAAAUUCAAGGCACCAUGAGGAGGGUCUGCCAGGACAUCUGUCAAUACGGACUCAACUCCAUUCUCUAGGCUAUUGGGAAGGUAUCCCUUCUCAUACUAAAUUUCCCAAAGCCAGAGGUCAAAGAUUCAUAUAUAACCCAGACACAGUCACAACCAACCCCAAUGGGCCUACUGUCUUGUAGAGAAACAUUACAGAAGGAUCAAUAGGAUUUCUGAAGUUUCAGAAGACAGGGUGGGACAUUUCAAUAACAGCAUGAAGAGCAGCACAUGGGCAUAUCCAGUAAUAAGUACCCACUUUGCUGGACGGAUUGCAAUACUCUUUUCGAUAGAGCAAUAGCAAGAUCUAAAGCUGUAAAUAAAAGCUGUUGUCAUAUUUAUG